UUUGAGCAGCAGCAUAGGUACUCUUUUCUGUGUGCCACUCAUAUGAUCUGCAAGCACAUAUCUGUGUAAAUUUGGACCACACACCCUCCUCCCAAUUGCCUCCAGCACAGCUGCCUGUACGGGAGGCCCUUCAGAGUCAUGGCACAGUCUGUCAGGUGACAGCAGCAGUAGGAGAAGACAACAAGAGAAAACUGUGAAGUGUCCUGGGUGUGGCAGAAAGAAGAAUGCCAUUAACUCAUAAGGCAAAUACAAAUUUUAUUACUUAAUAUUGUGAAGUGCUGUUACUGUGUUAUACCUCUGUUUAAAUUAGUCUUAGUCCAGUUUUUCUUUUUCCACCAGUU
rnacentral:lncRNA from 1 species